GAUGAACGCUAGCGGCAGGCCUAACACAUGCAAGUCGAACGGUAAGUUAAAAGCUUGCUUUUAACACGAGUGGCGCACGGGUGCGUAACGCGUAUGCAAUCUGCCCUUUUCUGGAGGAUAGCCCUUAGAAAUGAGGAUUAAUACUCCAUAGUAUAACAAUUUCGCAUGUUAUUGUUAUUAAAGCUUCGGCGGAAAAGGAUGAGCAUGCGUCCCAUUAGUUUGUUGGUGAGGUAACGGCUCACCAAGACUACGAUGGGUAGGGGGCCUGAGAGGGUUGUCCCCCACACUGGUACUGAGACACGGACCAGACUCCUACGGGAGGCAGCAGUGAGGAAUAUUGGUCAAUGGACGGAAGUCUGAACCAGCCAUGCCGCGUGCAGGAUGACUGCCCUAUGGGUUGUAAACUGCUUUUUUUAUACAGGAAGAAACCUCUCUACGUGUAGAGAGCUGACGGUACUGUAAGAAUAAGGACCGGCUAACUCCGUGCCAGCG
rnacentral:rRNA from 1 species